CCUACGGGUGGCAGCAGUGGGGAAUAUUGCACAAUGGGCGCAAGCCUGAUGCAGCCAUGCCGCGUGUGUGAAGAAGGCCUUCGGGUUGUAAAGCACUUUCAGCGGGGAGGAAGGCGUUAAGGUUAAUAACCUUGUCGAUUGACGUUACCCGCAGAAGAAGCACCGGCUAACUCCGUGCCAGCAGCCGCGGUAAUACGGAGGGUGCAAGCGUUAAUCGGAAUUACUGGGCGUAAAGCGCACGCAGGCGGUCUGUCAAGUCGGAUGUGAAGUCCCCGGGCUCAACCUGGGAACUGCAUUCGAAACUGGCAGGCUAGAGUCUUGUAGAGGGGGGUAGAAUUCCAGGUGUAGCGGUGAAAUGCGUAGAGAUCUGGAGGAAUACCGGUGGCGAAGGCGGCCCCCUGGACAAAGACUGACGCUCAGGUGCGAAAGCGUGGGGAGCAAACAGGAUUAGAUACCCGGGUAGUC
rnacentral:rRNA from 1 species